rnacentral:rRNA from 1 species
UACGGAGGGGGGCUAGCGUUGUUCGGAAUUACUGGGCGUAAAGCGCACGUAGGCGGCUUUGUAAGUUAGAGGUGAAAGCCCGGGGCUCAACUCCGGAAUUGCCUUUAAGACUGCAUCGCUAGAAUUGUGGAGAGGUAAGUGGAAUUCCGAGUGUAGAGGUGAAAUUCGUAGAUAUUCGGAAGAACACCAGUGGCGAAGGCGGCUCACUGGUCCGGUACUGACGCUGAGGUGCGAAAGCGUGGGGAGCAAACAGG